UACAGAGGUCUCGAGCGUUUGUUCGGAUUCAUUGGGCGUAAAGGGUGCGUAGGUGGCGCUGUAAGUCGGGUGUGAAAUCCUGAGGCUUAACCUCGGAACUGCAUUCGAUACUGCGGCGCUUGAGGACUGGAGAGGAGACUGGAAUUCAUGGUGUAGCAGUGAAAUGCGUAGAGAUCAUGAGGAAGACCAGUGGCGAAGGCGGGUCUCUGGACAGUUCCUGACACUGAGGCACGAAGGCCAGGGGAGCAAACGGG
rnacentral:rRNA from 1 species